GGGCCCCCCACCCAUGGGGCCCUGGCGUGCACUGGCUGCACACAGCAACCCCUCAGCAGUGUAGGGCUCCGCUGCCCCCCCAGGCACGGUGCCCACAGGGGCUGAGGGCACACUG
rnacentral:snoRNA from 1 species